AGUCCAUGAAUGUCAUCAUUGCGGAUAACGCAUUAUAUACAACUUUCAGCAACGGAUCUCUUGGCUCUCGCAUCGAUGAAGAACGCAGCGAAAUGCGAUAAGUAAUGUGAAUUGCAGAAUUCAGUGAAUCAUCGAAUCUUUGAACGCACCUUGCGCUCCUUGGUAUUCCGAGGAGCAUGCCUGUUUGAGUGUCAUGGAAUUCUCAACCUUCAUCACUUUUGUGGCGAAGGCUUGGACUUGGGGGUCGUGUCGGCUUGCAAAAGUCGACUCCUCUGAAAUGUAUUAGCGCGAGCCUUACGGACCGCUUCGGUGUGAUAAUUGUCUACGCCGUGGUGUGAAGUAUAUCUGUGUUCGUGCUUCUAACCGUCUGCAGAGACAACUUUUACAAUCUGACCUCAAAUCAGGUAGGACUACCCGCUGAACUUAAGCAUAUCAAUAAGCGGAGGAAAAGAAACUAACAAGGAUUCCCCUAGUAACUGCGAGUGAAGCGGGAAAAGCUCAAAUUUAAAAUCUGGUAGCCUUUGGUUGCCCGAGUUGUAGUCUGGAGAAGCGUUUUCCGCGC
rnacentral:rRNA from 1 species